GACAAUGUGGCAUAGUGGUUUGAGUGUUGGACUGUGGCUCUGGAGACCAGGGUUUGAUUCCCUGGGUGACU
rnacentral:tRNA from 1 species